rnacentral:rRNA from 1 species
UACGGAGGGAGCUAGCGUUAUUCGGAAUUACUGGGCGUAAAGCGCACGUAGGCGGCUUUGUAAGUUAGAGGUGAAAGCCUGGAGCUCAACUCCAGAAUUGCCUUUAAGACUGCAUCGCUUGAAUCCAGGAGAGGUGAGUGGAAUUCCGAGUGUAGAGGUGAAAUUCGUAGAUAUUCGGAAGAACACCAGUGGCGAAGGACGGCUGCAC